rnacentral:rRNA from 1 species
CGUAGGUGACCUGCGGAAGGAUCAUUAUCGAAUCGUAGGCGAGGGUUGUCGCUGGCCUCUCGGGGCAUGUGCACGCCCGAGCCCUUGAAUCCCAAACACCACAUGUGAACCCACCGUAGGCCUUCGGGCCUAUGUCUUAUCAUAUAAUCCGAAUGUCUAAUAGAAUGUAAACCCAUUUCGUUGCCUUGAAAACGCAACGAAAGAAAACUAUACAACUUUCAACAACGGAUCUCUUGGCUCUCGCAUCGAUGAAGAACGCAGCGAAAUGCGAUAAGUAAUGUGAAUUGCAGAUUUUCAGUGAAUCAUCGAAUCUUUGAACGCACCUUGCGCCCCUUGGUAUUCCGAGGGGCAUGCCUGUUUGAGUGUCAUUAAAUCCUCAACCCCUCCGAUUCGUUUCGGUGGGGAUUGGACUUGGAGCGUGCUGGCGAAGGUCGGCUCCUCUUUAAAUGCAUCAGCGGAGAAAAUGCCUUUUGCGCCUCUGGCCGUUCAGCGUGAUAAUGACGUUGCGCUGCGGUCGAGCUUAAGGUCCGCUUCCAAAGGUCCUCUCGGACGAUAUAUACAUAUGACUUUUGACCUCAAAUCAGGUAGGACUACCCGCUGAACUUAAGCAUAUCA